GGCCUCUCAGCUGAUUAUUUUGGUUCCCCUUUGAUGUUGCUUCAGCCAUCGAGGGUGCGUUCAGGUGUGCAUCUACAUUCGUUGAUGUUCUGUUUCUUUGGGGGCUGCAGAAAUUCUCGAUGAUGUUUGUAUGCCACAUGGGUUGUGCUGUAUGCACUAGUAUUGUCUGAGUUGAAGUAUACUAGUAUUUGUUGUGCAGGUUUGAAUUUCCAAAAAAGAGGGAAGGUCAUGACAAAAAUUUCAGUACUCCCUAGCAUGGUUUUAAAGGCGCCAAGGCGUCCUAAGGCGAAGGGGGGCGCUCUGACGCUUAGGCGACGCCUAGGCGGACGCUUUGGACGCCUAGGCGCCUAAGGCGGGUGUUUUUCUAAGGCGGAGGGGGAGCGCUUGGACGCUUAGGCGUCCCUAAGGCGACGCCUUUAAAACCAUGCUCCCUAGCUGUUGUCUUUAGUUGGUAUAUAUUCCUUAGUUGCUAUUUCGUCCUAGUGGUUUGGGCCAGAAUUUCAGCUUGGCCCAGCUCUAAUUUUCAUCCAAAAUAUUUGAAACCAUCGGACAUGACAGCAGCAGCGGGAAAGCGAUGGCAGCUGUGGUUGCAAGGGGCAUCAGCAGCGCGAGGAAGUAGCAGUGGCUGUAGGAGGCGAGGAUGAUGCUUGCAUAUCAAACUGUUAUUUUCUUUGUACUAGACGCUAUGGAGUGGCGCUGCUAUGGUUUGAUUCUGAUUUGAACUGUCAUUUUCUUAUACCAGGACUGAUUGCAUGAACUUCCAUGCUGUGCAUCUUACUUUGGCUGGACAUUCACUGUUAAAUUGUGUGGAGUUUGUGUUUAGUUAAGGCCUCUGAUCGAGUUAUCAUGUUUGGUUGGACUAGUGAGUCGAGUUUGGAUGCAUAAAUAGGCGUGUCAUGUGCCACUUACUGUUCUGUUAUCUGAAUUAUGGUCUGGCUGUGCAAAAGAAUAACAAGGUCAUGGCAAAUUUUUCAACACAAUUGCUGAUUAAAGUUGCAUCGGUUACUUAGGUGAACGAAAUAAUAUUGUUUCUUGAAUAAAUCUGCUGAUGUAGAGCUGACCACCAUCAUGUGGUUUUUUCUUGUUUUGCGAGGAUAUAACCAGUAAGUGGACAUGCACGUUGGGCGGGUAGCAGGUGGUACACCUGUCGCAGCGCUGCGGCAGCCCUGCGGAAGCCGGUUGACUAUUGAGUGCGACCUACCUGGGUCAAGCAGGGCGAGUCGGGCAUCGCCAGGGGACAGCGGCGCUGUUUCUCUUGUGGCGUGGCGAUGUCUGGAGUGGCUGGAGCUGGGCGAAGGGAGCAGCUCUGCUUCACCUUUGCCUUCGCUGACGUGAGACGGCGGUGAGUUCAACACGCCGCUACCGUGGAAGUGGUGGCCUCUCAGGAUAGAUAUAACCAGUAAGUGGACAUGCACGGUGGGCGGGUAGCAGGUGGUACACCUGUCGCAGCGCUGCGGCUGCCCUGCGGAAGCCGGUUGACUAUU